UAGCCUGCCGGACAAGUCCGUUGGGAAAUCCACGCGCUCAACGCGUGGGCGUCCAGCGGAAACUGUCCGGCUUGGGGCCGGAAGACUCGAGGGGUACGUCUGGGGUAGGAGUGAAAUCCCGUAAUCCCGGACGGACCGCCGGUAGCGAAAGCGCCUCGAGAGGACGGACCCGACGGUGAGGGACGAAAGCCAGGGUCUCGAACCGGAUUAGAUACCCGGGUAGUCCUGGCCGUAAACGAUGCUCGCUAGGUGUGGCGCAGGCUACGAGCCUGCGCUGUGCCGUAGGGAAGCCGUGAAGCGAGCCGCCUGGGAAGUACGUCUGCAAGGAUGAAACUUAAAGGAAUUGGCGGGGGAGCACAACAACCGGAGGAGCCUGCGGUUUAAUUGGACUCAACGCCGGAAAUCUCACCGGCACCGACAGCAGUAAUGACGGUCAGGUUGAUGACCUUGCCCGAGCUGCUGAGAGGAGGUGCAUGGCCGCCGUCAGCUCGUACCGUGAGGCGUCCUGUUAAGUCAGGCAACGAGCGAGACCCGCGUCCUUAGUUGCCAGCAACACCACUGGUGGUUGGGUACACUAAGGAGACUGCCGCUGCCAAAGCGGAGGAAGGAACGGGCAACGGUAGGUCAGUAUGCCCCGAAUGUGCCGGGCAACACGCGGGCUACAAUGGCCGGGACAAUGAGACGCUACCCCGAGAGGGGACGCUAAUCCCCAAACCCGGUCGUAGUUCGGAUUGAGGGCUGCAACUCGCC
rnacentral:rRNA from 1 species